UGCAUACGGGAAAUUUUAGCAACUAGAAUGUUAUUACGGGAAACUGUCAGGUCAGUAACUUGCCAGUUCGAGUCGUGUAAAGUUCUAUUUAAAAAAAAAACUGUUUUUUCUUGAAAAGAAUACAAUGGAUAGAAGUAGUACUUUAACUGUCCAGACCAACCAAGAUCACAAAACAGAGAAAAGUAAUGCAUUUUUUAAUCAAAGACAAUCCUCUGUCAAGCCAUCUCCCGAUGCGGCCGAUAGUAACAAGGAGGUAAUUGAAUUGCAUCAAGCCGAAAUCUAGACAUUGGAAAAGUCAUCCGCUGAACAAUGGCAAUUAUUGGC